GGAUGCAAUCAUACUAGCACUAACGCAUCAGAUCCCAUCAGAACUCCGAAGCUAAGCGUGCUUGGGCGAGAGUAGUGUUAGGAUGGGUGACCC
rnacentral:rRNA from 1 species